UACAGAGGUCUCGAGCGUUGUUCGGAUUCAUUGGGCGUAAAGGGCGCGUAGGCGGCGGGGCAAGUCUGGUGUGAAAUCUCGGAGCUCAACUCCGAAAUUGCACUGGAUACUGCUCUGCUAGAGGGCUGGAGAGGAGAUCGGAAUUCACGGUGUAGCAGUGAAAUGCGUAGAUAUCGUGAGGAAGACCAGUGGCGAAGGCGGAUCUCUGGACAGCUCCUGACGCUGAGGCGCGAAGGCUAGGGGAGCAAACGGG
rnacentral:rRNA from 1 species